AAGGGACACCUGAGAUAAAAGAAAGAAGAAAGUUCAAAGAAGUGAUGGUUGGUGACCUAACCAUGGAGUGGGCCUGCCUGUUGAGCCAUUCUGCUGUGAAGAGAUGGGGGUAAGUUCACGGAGAGCUGGCAUUGAAGGAUGGCUGGGAAGUCUCUGUGCUAGGGUGGGGCAGGCAAUGGCAAUGGCAAUGUGUGUUCUAGAUACUGACAUGACUCACCUGCAGUGAGGAGCAGAAUUCCUAAGGUCCCCAGGAGGGCAGGAAAGGUGGGGAUUCA
rnacentral:lncRNA from 1 species